UAAAAACACUUCUUUUAGAGCUAUAGUAGGUGGUAAAUAAUAUGUGAGUGCAGCCAAAGGGCUUUGAGAGCCUUGUCCUCUUAAACAGAGAAAAAAAAAAGACUCUUAUUUUCAUACUGUGACAAUUUACCAUACCUAUUAUGCUACCUAGGUGGUAUUGCUGCUGGAAUUAUUUACUUUCUUUUGCUAUAAAGGUUGACUGCAUCUUGAUGUUUUUUUUUCCCUAAUAAACAUGAAUAUUUGCUCCUCCCUUUUUUUAAGAUAAAGGCAAAUAUUUGGAAAUAUCAGUUGCAGUACAUACAUGUUGUUUCAGCUUAGGGUUUCACUAGAAAUGUAAACCAUUCAUACAAACUGAAAAUAGAAUUCUAAAC